rnacentral:rRNA from 1 species
AUUGAACGCUGGCGGCAUGCCUUACACAUGCAAGUCGAACGGUAACGGGCCUUCGGGUGCCGACGAGUGGCGAACGGGUGAGUAAUGCAUCGGAACGUACCUUUCAGUGGGGGAUAACGUAGCGAAAGUUACGCUAAUACCGCAUAUUCUGUGAGCAGGAAAGCAGGGGAUCGCAAGACCUUGCGCUGAUUGAGCGGCCGAUGUCAGAUUAGCUAGUUGGUGAGGUAAAGGCUCACCAAGGCGACGAUCUGUAGCGGGUCUGAGAGGAUGAUCCGUCACACUGGAACUGAGACACGGUCCAGACUCCUACGGGAGGCAGCAGUGGGGAAUUUUGGACAAUGGGGGCAACCCUGAUCCAGCCAUGCCGCGUGAGUGAAGAAGGCCUGG